UGGCUCAGAACGAACGCUGGCGGCGCGUUUAAGCAUGCAAGUCGAGCGGCAAGGGCCUUCGGGCCCCUAGAGCGGCGGACGGGUGAGUAACACGUGGACAAUCUGCCCCCCGGCCCGGGAUAGCCCAGGGAAACCUGGAUUAAUACCGGAUGAGACGGGACCCGCGAUGGCGGGAUCCGGGAAAGGCGCUGCGGCGCCGCCGGGGGAUGAGUCUGCGUCCCAUUAGCUAGACGGCGGGGUAACGGCCCACCGUGGCGACGAUGGGUAGCCGGCCUGAGAGGGUGGACGGCCACAUUGGAACUGAGACACGGUCCAGACUCCUACGGGAGGCAGCAGCUAAGAAUCUUCCGCAAUGGGCGAAAGCCUGACGGAAGCGACGCCGCGUGAACGAAGAAGGCCGUGAGGUUGUAAAGUUCUUUUCGGGAGGGGGAACAACCGUGGCAGGGAAUGGCCGCGGGAUGACGUGAAUCCCGGAAUAAGCCCCGGCUAACUACGUGCCAGCCGCCGC
rnacentral:rRNA from 1 species